UGGGGAAUAUUGCACAAUGGGCGCAAGCCUGAUGCAGCCAUGCCGCGUGUGUGAAGAAGGCCUCGGUUGUAAAGCACUUUCAGCGAGGAGGAAGGUGGUGACUUAAUACGUCAUCAAUUGACGUUACUCGCAGAAGAAGCACCGGCUAACUCCGUGCCAGCAGCCGCGGUAAUACGGAGGGUGCAAGCGUUAAUCGGAAUUACUGGGCGUAAAGCGCACGCAGGCGGUUUGUUAAGUCAGAUGUGAAAUCCCCGGGCUCAACCUGGGAACUGCAUUUGAAACUGGCAAGCUAGAGUCUCGUAGAGGGGGGUAGAUUCCAGGUGUAGCGGUGAAAUGCGUAGAGAUCUGGAGGAAUACCGGUGGCGAAGGCGGCCCCCUGGACGAAGACUGACGCUCAGGUGCGAAAGCGUGGGGAGCAAACAG
rnacentral:rRNA from 1 species